rnacentral:rRNA from 1 species
CCUACGGGUGGCAGCAGUGGGGAAUAUUGGACAAUGGGCGAAAGCCUGAUCCAGCCAUGCCGCGUGUGUGAAGAAGGCCUUCGGGUUGUAAAGCACUUUCAGUGGGGAAGAAAGCCUUGGGGCUAAUACCCUCGAGGAAGGACAUCACCAACAGAAGAAGCACCGGCUAACUCCGUGCCAGCAGCCGCGGUAAUACGGAGGGUGCGAGCGUUAAUCGGAAUUACUGGGCGUAAAGCGCGCGUAGGCGGUCUGAUAAGCCGGUUGUGAAAGCCCCGGGCUCAACCUGGGAACGGCAUCCGGAACUGUCAGGCUAGAGUGCAGGAGAGGAAGGUAGAAUUCCCGGUGUAGCAGUGAAAUGCGUAGAGAUCGGGAGGAAUACCAGUGGCGAAGGCGGCCUUCUGGACUGACACUGACGCUGAGGUGCGAAAGCGUGGGUAGCGAACAGGAUUAGAUACCCGUGUAGUC